rnacentral:rRNA from 1 species
UACGGGGGGGGCAAGCGUUGUUCGGAAUCACUGGGCGUAAAGCGCACGUAGGCGGAUUGUUAAGUCAGGGGUGAAAUCCUGGAGCUCAACUCCAUAACUGCCUUUGAUACUGGCGAUCUUGAGUCCGGGAGAGGUGAGUGGAACUGCGAGUGUAGAGGUGAAAUUCGUAGAUAUUCGCAAGAACACCAGUGGCGAAGGCGGCUCACUGGCCCGGUACUGACGCUGAGGUGCGAAAGCGUGGGGAGCAAACAGG